UACGUAGGGUGCGAGCGUUGUCCGGAAUUAUUGGGCGUAAAGAGCUCGUAGGCGGUUUGUCGCGUCGGCCGUGAAAUCUCCACGCUUAACGUGGAGCGUGCGGUCGAUACGGGCAGACUUGAGUUCGGUAGGGGAGACUGGAAUUCCUGGUGUAGCGGUGAAAUGCGUAGAGAUCGGGAGGAACACCUGUGGCGAAGGCGGCCCCCCUGGGC
rnacentral:rRNA from 1 species